GCUGUAGCUCAGUGGCUGGGCACAUGUCUCAUGUGCAGAAGGUCCCUGGUUCAAUCCUUGGCAUCUCCA